rnacentral:lncRNA from 1 species
GAAAACAGUGAGUCUAACCUAGUCAUUCUAGAAUUGGGAGGUAAUAGAAAAGAGAGAAAUGGGAAAGUUGCUCAAAUGCAAGUCCAGUGAAUCAGAGAGAAAAGGCUCAAAGCAGCAGAACAAAGCUUCAAUAAAGAGAUAUUGUGACUUGGAGAGAUGGCCUUUUGUCCUUUGUUCUAUUACCAGUCAGAGGAUGGGGAGCACACCCGAGCCUGAGACAACAGCUCUGCUAAGUGCCCUUGAGAGGGCACGGUGGGGUCAGCACCAAAGUCAGACCACUAAAGAGAAAAAGAGAGAAAGACAGGAUUGCAGAGGAGAAAUGAGAAUGGCAGAAAAAAUAAUUUUUUAAGCCAAAAGGAAUCAGAGAAGAGCAGAAGUGCCUCUAGGAUAAAGCGUAGCAGGCAGUUAGGGAAAAAGGGCUGUUAACUACCUUGAAGCUCUGACUACAUUAGAAAGCCUCGCAAGACAGUCGUUGCUUGCACGGGCAGGUAGAGAACUUUUCCUGUCCAUUGUUCUUCUGAAUUAUAAAUCACUGACCUCUUUAUGAUUUCUAAAGGGAAAAUGACUUCAAGCUUCUUAGAGUUCCCCUAAGGCAUUCUCUAUAUUCAAUAUAAUAUGGGAAGCCCUGGGUUUGUCUUUGUAUGUUUCAUCUGCAGUGACCUGAAAUCUUCAUAACCCUCUUCCUUUCUCCACUUAUCAACUAAGGGGUGGUUGGCAAUAAGGAUGGGUGGGAGAGAAAAAAAAACAGAAUUUGAGGAGGAGAGCAUUUAAACCAUCAGACUGUGUGUUCUGUGACAUCAAAGACUGGCAACAUUCUAAAGGAAAAGCAGCUGUGAAGUCAUAAUUAUGUUCACUUCCCACUGGCAACUGGCAAGCCCUUUAUUUUUGUGCAUUCGGAACUCACCAAGAAUAAAUAAAGUCCAUUCCCUCCUUGAGGGGCUAUUCUGCCAUUCCAUCUAGGAUUUAAAAGUUUGCCAAUUCCUAAAACAUCUAUUGUUAUCAAUAGUCUUGUGUCUUUCACAAAGCGGACUUUACAAAAUAAGUUUCCAAGAAAAAAGCAUUAAAGUGCCAUAGAA